rnacentral:rRNA from 1 species
GUCCCCUAGGGAGGCAGCAGUGGGGAAUAUUGCACAAUGGGCGAAAGCCUGAUGCAGCAACGCCGCGUGAGCGAUGAAGGCCUUCGGGUCGUAAAGCUCUGUCCUCAAGGAAGAUAAUGACGGUACUUGAGGAGGAAGCCCCGGCUAACUACGUGCCAGCAGCCGCGGUAAUACGUAGGGGGCUAGCGUUAUCCGGAAUUACUGGGCGUAAAGGGUGCGUAGGUGGUUUCUUAAGUCAGAGGUGAAAGGCUACGGCUCAACCGUAGUAAGCCUUUGAAACUGAGAAACUUGAGUGCAGGAGAGGG